AGUGUGUCUAGAGGGGUGCACAGGGAGUGGCACGGCAAAGGGAAUUGCCCCUCAGGAGCAGAGGGUUAUGUCAGAGGGGAGGCACGAACCAGGUCGCAUAGCACUUUCUAGGACGUAAUGAGUGUGGAUUCUAUGUUGCCAUGGGAAGCCAGCAUCCUUGCACGAGGUGGUUAAGUGCUGAGAGAAGAUAAAUCAGAUUAAGGGGCUAGAGACAGACUGGAAGCCUGGGGAAGCUAUUUGAAACAAAUGGGCAGAGGAGCUCUCUCUGAGGAAGUGACUUUAGGGCUGAGUCUUGAAAUAUCUGAAGUAGCGACCAUGCAGAUUUCUGGGAUAAGCCAGUUCCAGGCAGAAAAAAUAGCACUGAAGUGGGAAUAAGCAUCACAUAUCCUGGAAAGAGCAAGAAGGUCAGCGUGGCCAGGGCACAAUACCAGAGGAAGCAGGGGGAGGAGGCCAGCCCUGUGGAGGCCGUGGGACGGUACUUGGCUUUUAUUCUAAAUACACUGGGAAGAUUUUCGAGGACUCUUGCUUGUUUUUCGAGGGAACUGGCUGAAAACCCAGUAGAUUUUGGUGGCUGUUCUUGACUAAGAAGAGUGUGGAACAAAGUCACAGAGCCACGGCCCCAGACAAGACCUGGAUGAAGCGCUACAGCCUGGUAGUGCCAAGACUGGGAGGGAAAGAGAAGAGCGCUAUGAGACAGAAUCCAGAAGCAAGGAGAGGAAGGAAAGGCCUUGGACCCCCUAAGGAGAAGGAGGGUAAACACCCAGGAGCAGGAUUGCUGGGUCAUAUGAAUGCACAUUUUUCCCCCUGGAUUGCAAAUAAUCUGAACCAGGGUAAAACCAUUACAAAGUGGCCUUCAAACAUCAUGUCUGUAUUGGAACUGAAUGAUUGAUCAGACAUUUAAAUACGGAAACUGGGAAUUCAGCUGACCAGAAUUUCACCAGGGUGACAUGACAGUUUGUUGCUAAGGAACUGAAGACUAUGUCAUAAGUGAGCAUUCUGAUGAAGAGGAGUGAACAGUUUGCAGCAGAUUGGAUAUUAAGUAUAAAUCAGCUCUCUGUGUAUGUCCCUGUGUGGUGGUGUAACUGACAACAGGUAGGGUUCCUGAUGGGAUUGGGUUCCACCAAUCAGAGCCACUUGCAUGAGACCUCAACUGAGAGCCAGUCCUGGAGGCUGAGUCCCCCAGGCUGCUGGAGGUGCUGAGAAUACCUGGACCCUACUAGCAAUGCAGAGAAGUGUUUACACCCCUCUCUGGCAGAUGGAAACCACUGGACAGUAGUGACAUGGUUAAGUGGAGUCUGAGCCAUUCUCUUGGAAAAGCAAGCAAUCAUCAGAAUAAUGGGAUGUCAUCUCCACCAGAACAAGGACUACGUUUUGUAUGUUGCUGUUCCGUUAGUGCCAGAACAUGCCCACCCCUGCUCAGUAAAUAAGCGUUAAGUGAAUGGAUUAAUAAGUGAAAGGCUGUGUUUGAAGAGGAGGGGCUCACUCUAAAUCUUGAAGAUGUUCAGCCUCGAAAAAGUAGAAGUCAUUGUGACCAAAGAUGAUGCCACCAUGCCUUUGAAAAAGAAAGGUGAUGAGCCUCAAAUGGAAAAAUACAUUCAAGAAAGGUCAAUGCUAGUGAGUAUGAAUGAACACAUAGCAAAAAUUUCAGGUAGAACAGCCAUGCCAAGGGCUGGUGGGACAGGUGAGGCCGAGUGAAUAAAAAGAAGUAGCCCCAGAGACACUCAAGGUGGUUCCAGCUGCUUUUGAAGGAGGUUUCUUUCUAAGAGGUGGCUGGGCUUGGUUUCAGCAUAUUCCAAUUUGGGACUCAUGAACUGCAACUAAUAAAGAUCAAAAAACUGAUACAGAAAUUGUUUUAUAAAACAU